rnacentral:rRNA from 1 species
ACGAACGCUGGCGGCGUGCUUAACACCUGCAAGUCGAACGGUGAAGCGCCUUCCUUUUUGGUGGGUGUGGAUGAGUGGCGAACGGGUGAGUAACACGUGAGUAACCUGCCCCCUUCUUCUGGAUAACCGCAUGAAAGUGUGGCUAAUACGGGAUAUUCUGGGUCUGUCGCAUGAUGGGUCUGGGAAAGAUAUUGUUUCGGUGGGGGAUGGGCUCGCGGCCUAUCAGCUUGUUGGUGGGGUGAUGGCCUACCAAGGCGGUGACGGGUAGCCGGCCUGAGAGGGUGGACGGUCACACUGGGACUGAGACACGGCCCAGACUCCUACGGGAGGCAGCAGGGGGGAAUAUUGCACAAUGGGCGCAAGCCUGAUGCAGCGACGCCGCGUGAGGGAUGGAGGCCUUCGGGUUGUGAACCUCUUUCGCCAGUGAAGCAGGCCUGCCUCGUUUGUGGGUGGGUUGACGGUAGCUGGAUAAGAAGCGCCGGCUAACUACGUG